GACGAACGCUGGCGGCGUGCUUAACACAUGCAAGUCGAACGGAAAGGCCCUGCUUUUGUGGGGUGCUCGAGUGGCGAACGGGUGAGUAACACGUGAGUAACCUGCCCUUGACUUUGGGAUAACUUCAGGAAACUGGGGCUAAUACCGGAUAGGAGCUCCUGCUGCAUGGUGGGGGUUGGAAAGUUUCGGCGGUUGGGGAUGGACUCGCGGCUUAUCAGCUUGUUGGUGGGGUAGUGGCUUACCAAGGCUUUGACGGGUAGCCGGCCUGAGAGGGUGACCGGCCACAUUGGGAAGGAGAUACGGCCCAGACUCCUACGGGAGGCAGCAGUGGGGAAUAUUGCACAAUGGGCGGAAGCCUGAUGCAGCAACGCCGCGUGCGGGAUGACGGCCUUCGGGUUGUAAACCGCUUUCGCCUGUGACGAAGCGUGAGUGACGGUAAUGGGUAAAGAAGCACCGGCUAACUACGU
rnacentral:rRNA from 1 species